CCGGGCCUACGGGGCGCAGCAGUGGGGAAUAUUGGGCAAUGGGCGCAAGCCUGAUGCAGCAACGCCGCGUGAAGGAAGAAGGCCUUCGGGUCGUAAACUUCUGUCCUUGGGGAAGAAGAACUGACGGUACCCAAGGAGGAAGCCCCGGCUAACUACGUGCCAGCAGCCGCGGUAAUACGUAGGGGGCAAGCGUUAUCCGGAAUUAUUGGGCGUAAAGAGUACGUAGGGGGCAACCUAAGCGCAGGGUUUAAGGCAAUGGCUCAACCAUUGUUCGCCCUGCGAACUGGG
rnacentral:rRNA from 1 species